rnacentral:lncRNA from 1 species
AUUAAUAUUGUUGGGUAAUGCCCAAAAAUCAACUAUGUCUUCUAAAUUAUUUUAGAUACAACACCCAAUUUUUCGCUUCAAUUAGAACAUGGUUUGACGUCUUGAUGCAGUGAGUAAAGUUAGUAUAAAUGAUUUAACAUAAGUGGUUGAUUGGAACACAAAAAGCAUCACCCUACACUAAGUAUUCGUGUUGAUGACAAAGGCUUAAUAUCUAUCUAUGAUUAUUUCCCCAAGGGCAACUUAGAGGAACACUAAUCAAUUUUAGCAAAGCAAGUGAGAUACAGAUCAAGAAGUGGAGCCAUUUAACUCUUCUGCUUCUUCUUCUUAUACUUUCUUUUAUCCUGUACCCAUUACCAUCAUCAUCAUCUUCAAUAUUCAAGCAUAGAUUAAUAAAAAACAGAACCAUCUUCAACAAAACAAGCAUGAACAAAAUAUCAUACAAAACCAAAUACUUUCAACAAAGUCUUCCAACUUUCCCUCAACGUUACCUACUCCACCCAGAUUACUAGGAUCCUUCUUCAGCGGGUCCCAUCUUCUAUUGUGGCAAUAAAGGUGACAUCCACAAACGUGUAAUUUGCAUACAUAAGAUCAAGAUGAGGUUCAAUAUCCAUCAUCAUAUACACAAAGGAGCUACAUAUAAAUUGGUUAUUUACUCUCAGAUAUUUAGUACAUUCAAAAGUUUCUAUGAGCAUAAUUAUCACAAGACGAGGAACUCAAGUCACUUCGACAUGGUGUGCGGAUGCCCAUCACUGUGGCUAUUGAUCAAUUCAGCCACCCAAUCCUAGCCACCGCAAAAAGGGAAUGGCAAUCAUAUCAUUGACGUUGGAAAUAAGAGGAUAUAGUGAAAUUCCAAGUCAAAAAGAGAUUGAAUAUCAAGGCUUAUAAAAUUGCAGAAAAGUUACAAAUAAGCUAAAAGGCAACCAUCAUGAAGUGAGCAGAAUAAAAUUAGAAAAGUGAUUCAACCAUGGAUUAUCAAUAGACAGAAAUUCAAAAGUAGCAGCAGAGGAGAUGUAUCAGAAAUAUCUACCUAUUAAGCUAUCUCAAUUUCAGAUACACAUCAUCAUUAUCAGCAUAAAAUAGAGCAUUCAUGGGCAGCCUUAAAUCAGAGUAAAAAAGGGGCAAGCUGAAGCAAUUAAGCAGGCCAAUAAAUAUCCAGUCUCAGUUGUGAAUCAGCAAAUGAGGAGUAUAAUAAAGCAGAAAGGAAACAGAAGUAUACAAAUCAAAGACCAAUCCCCUCAGUUACAGAAUUCAAUAGGCUAAAUGUAAAGGGCAGGUGAACCAAAUUUCUGUUACGUAUUCAGAGUCAUUCAGGCAACUUUAAUACAGUAAUCAGUAUGCAAUAAUCAGCAGGAACAAGCAAGCAGUUUAAUAACACAAGAGUCAUGGCUAUUGGUAACCCAAGAGAUCCAGCUAAUCAGCUAUAAAAGGCAUACAACCACAACCAAAGGGGGGAUACACCACGAUACAGAAAUCAGAGAGAGAGGAUUUCAGAGAAAAGGGCAGAAAUAUAGAUAAAGAGUGACAUUCGAAUAGAUUCAAUAUCAUACCAGUUCCAAGGAGCAAUCACUAUACACAUAUCUAAACAAAAGCAAUCUGAAUAUAGAGCUAUACAUCACAGGCGCCAUAAACCAAGAAGGCAGAGCAACACAAACUGAAAACAGUAAGCAAAAAGAAAUCACAGAGAGGUAUCAACAACCGGAAGACCAAGUUGGCGAUAGAGAACGGUGUGGAUAAUCUUGAAACACAGAAACAGAACGAGAAAUCAGGAACAGGAGAUUGGCUUUUACACAACAAAGGCUAAAGGUAUACCUCCAGGUAAUCCAUUUAUUCCUCUCAUUCAAGCAAUUAUAAACAGAAAAUGUUCUUCUUCAUCAUGUGUUCGGAGCAUCAAACUAGAUACAUAUGUUCAUCUAAACAGUUGUAAACAAGUAGCCCUCACUCUAAUUUAUGUCAUAUAUAUCAAAUGAAAUGCAUACAGUGACUGAAACGUCUUGAAAGACAUUUCUAUGUUCUUUACAAGCCUACAACCAUGAAAUAAACUCAGAACUUUGCUAAAAAAUGGCUAGAAUGUCAGAUUCAAACAUAAGACAUAUUCACUCGGCUUCAACAGGGAUAAAUAUCCAUAAACAAGAAAUAGAUAGUAUAACACGAUAGCAUAAUUUCGGAUAAAUGCUUGCCGAGAUUAGUCACACUUAAUCAUCCAAUCUCAAGCCAAAAGAAUAAAAUAGAAAAGGAGCAGGGUUAGUUACUAGACCCAUUGCGUUGAUGCCGAUUCCGAAUCCCUAUCUCGUCUCGGUGACCACCGCGAGAACAAGGGAAUCAUAAAAGAAAAAUAAAAGAAGGAUAUGGUACCUUACGGGUUCUCCUCGCCUCCAUCCACCAUGAUAAACGGUGGUUCCCACCGUGGCUGCCGCCUUCAUCAAUCGAAGCCCUCACCGAAGAGGAAGGGAUGGAGGAGGUGAUUGUCCAUUCUUCAAGCCGCCAUCAUGAUCCUCACCUCCGCUGGAGAAUCACUCACCAUUGCCGCCUCUCACCGCCGUUAAUCACCUCUCACCGCCGUUAAUAACCUCUCUCCACUACCAUCGUGAAAGAAGCCAAGGGGGGAGAGGAUGAAAGAGGUAUAGUGUGUUAGGGAAAAUCCCUUUUGGGACUUUAGGUUCUAAACAACCCGUAUGCCCCCACCCCACUUAUUUUUGUUAUGUUUAUUAGUGUUGCUUUUUAUUUGUGUAUUAU